GCUGGCGGCGUGCCUAAUACAUGCAAGUCGAGCGGUAAGGCUCUGCACAUAGUAUUGGACCACGGUAACUUCGGUUAUCAGAUCAAACCAAAUCGACCCUGGCUAGGGAAGAAAUGGAAUGGGAGGUCAAAUAUUGGGUGUAGAGUACACGAGCGGCGGACGACUGAGUAACACGUAGGAACGUACCCCAAACUGAGGGAUAAGCACCAGAAAUGGCGUCUAAUACCGCAUGUGCUCCAAGGAGUAAAGCUUCGGCGGUUUGGGAACGGCCUGCGUAUGAUUAGAUUGUUGGUGAGGUAAUGGCUCANNNAGUCGACGAUCAUUAGCUGGUCUGAGAGGAUGACCAGCCAGACUGGAACUGAGAACGGUCCAGACUCCUACGGGAGGCAGCAGUAGGGAAUUUUCCACAAUGGACGAAAGUCUGAUGGAGCAACGCCGCGUGCAGGAUGAAGGCUCUUGGGUCGUAAACUGCUUUUAUCUGUGACGAAUAUGACGGUAGCAGAUGAAUAAGGAUCGGCUAACUACGUGCCAGCAGCCGCGGUCAUACGUAGGAUCCAAGCGUUAUCCGGAAUUACUGGGCGUAAAGAGUUGCGUAGGUGGCAUUGUAAGUAGGUAGUGAAAGCGUGUGGCUCAACCAUAUACACAUUACCUAAACUGCAAAGCUAGAGGAUGAGAGAGGGUUAUUGGAAUUCCUAGUGUAGGAGUGAAAUCC
rnacentral:rRNA from 1 species